rnacentral:rRNA from 1 species
UACGAAGGGGACUAGCGUUGUUCGGAAUCACUGGGCGUAAAGCGCACGUAGGCGGAUGUGUCUGUCAGGGGUGAAAUCCCGGGGCUCAACCUCGGAACUGCCUUUGAUACAGCACGUCUCGAGUCCGGAAGAGGUGGGUGGAAUUCCUAGUGUAGAGGUGAAAUUCGUAGAUAUUAGGAAGAACACCGGUGGCGAAGGCGGCCCACUGGUCCGGUACUGACGCUGAGGUGCGAAAGCGUGGGGAGCAAACAGG